UCAAUACCCGUCCCAGCAGUUAUCCCUCCAUAAUUGCCUGAAGGUUCAACUUUCCUAAAAGCUCCCUUUCCCAUUCAAAGCAACGCUCCCCUAAUAUCCCAAGAAUCAUUUCUCUUUCUAAACAUUUUACUCCGACGUUUUGAUUUCCAUGGAGCAAACAUUCAUUUUCCUCAUAAAAACCUCAGUCUGGUUCUCUCACCCAUUCGUCCUCUAACGUUUUAACUGCAUGCCUUGGUAACGCUUCUUCCAGGUAAAAUCCUCUCCUUUGCUUCAGACUUUCAGUGGCUAUGAUGCCUGCCAAAGUGUUUGUUGUUCGAUGGACAUGUUGAAAUUUUAUGGAUUUGAACUCUUUCUGUAUAGUCUUUAUAUCGUGUAUGAUGGAGCAUAUUUUUUAUUACUGAAAUGGAUUUUGAAAUGCAUUUCCUUAUUACUGAAAUGGAGUCCCCUUCAAUAUAGAUUCUACGCUUUUUCAUUGCUCACCCCAUUCUUACUGCCUCUAAACAUGCAUGUGCCUCUGCUGCGAAAGCCGAAUUAACAUUAUCGUAUAUGGUCGCUCUGGAGACAACCACUCUUCCUCUUCCUUUUCUGGCAACUAUUCCCGAGCUUGAUCUAAAAAGAUCUCCAUUAAACCCUACGUCAAAAUUGAUUUUUAUUGUCUUCUCCAGGUGGGACCCAUGAGUCUCUGAUCGGUGCCCUUAGGACCCAAAGGGAUACACAGAUCAUUCGCUUCUGGGAAUUGAGCAGUUAUCAAAAGCCCAGGAAAGUGAAGAAAAACAUGUGUUAUGUUGUCUGCUGCUUCCCCAUAUCUUGGGCAGUUUGUAUUUGUUACUAAUCUCUUGAAAUGUAGAUUUACUUUAGUAGGGAUGUAAUUUUUUGAGAUGCGCCAUACUGUAAGCUUAAUUUUAGAAGGGAGUUUUAGACUCCAUAGUGCUCGGUAGAAAUUCCUAGAUAAUAGUUGUAAUGUAUGCAUCGACCGCGUUAAAGGUAUUGGAGAUUAUUUCUUUCCUC